rnacentral:rRNA from 1 species
GGCGGCAUGCCUUACACAUGCAAGUCGAACGGCAGCACGGGGGCAACCCUGGUGGCGAGUGGCGAACGGGUGAGUAAUAUAUCGGAACGUGCCCUGGAGUGGGGGAUAACUAGUCGAAAGAUUAGCUAAUACCGCAUACGAUCUACGGAUGAAAGUGGGGGAUUCGCAAGAACCUCAUGCUCCUGGAGCGGCCGAUAUCUGAUUAGCUAGUUGGUGAGGUAAAGGCUCACCAAGGCAUCGAUCAGUAGCUGGUCUGAGAGGACGACCAGCCACACUGGGACUGAGACACGGCCCAGACUCCUACGGGAGGCAGCAGUGGGGAAUUUUGGACAAUGGGCGCAAGCCUGAUCCAGCAAUGCCGCGUGAGUGAAGAAGGCCUUCGGGUUGUAAAGCUCUUUUGUCAGGGAAGAAACGGUGAGGGUUAAUACCCUUUGCUAAUGACGGUACCUGAAGAAUAAGCACCGGCUAACUACGUGCCAGCAGCCGCGGUAAUACGUA